UAACGGAAGUAUGUGCUACGUGUGGGCUUCUUUUUUGUCUGGGCUUUAGUUCUGUUUAAUAAAUAUGCCUUAUAGCGAGAAACCCAAACCCUUUUAUUCUGCUUCCCAUCUGAUCCUAGAGUUCAUCACAGUUUUAUUCACAGCCAUUCCAUGGUUUGAGAUUAUGAUAUCGACGUGAUGAAUAUCUUCAUAGGGUGUCGAUGCGUCGUUUGGUCUCCGCUUUCAUAAACCAAAUGCCCACAGUUACAGAUUUGUUGCAGUAAACUCAUUCUUAACUCCAUCGGCCACGAUCUUGCCUUUAAUGCGAGUUUCACUUCUGCAAGUCGGUGUAUCUAUGAGUAUAAAUAGGUGUUCUUCCAGAUUGCUGCGAUUCUGGGAGGUCAGGAAUGUUAAACACUGUGGGGAACUUAUGUGUGUUGAUUUGCUCUUACUGGAUUCAAAGGUGAGUUUGUUCUGGAACUUCUCAUAUAGUUGCGUUAUAUUAAUUCCGUCGACCUGCUGUCAACAUUGCCUAGCUGUUCUAUUCAUAUUUUCAUAGAACUGUUCCUAACAUGGUUAAUGUGAACAGAAGAAUGCUGGAUUGCUGGGUAGUUUCCUUCCUUAUUGAAUCAACAUUUCAUUGAUCACGACAAUGAUGGCAUGUAUAUUGUUUUAGAUUAAAGUCGCUUCCUUUUUUUAAAAAAAAUUAGUUCUUAAAUCUGAGAAAAAUAUAGUUUUAUGAGCAAUGUCGUUUAUUGAUUAGGUUUUAUUUGUAAAUGUGUUUCAGCCACCAACCAGCAUCACAAAAAGAAAAUAUGUACCGUGUUUCAUCCGGUCUUGCAACGACAUCAAAUUAAACUCUCUACUGUAAGUGACACCAAAAGUGAAAAGGAAUUUGUUGUACUGUAAAGUGUUGGAGUGCACACACCCGGAGAGCUCAAAGCACUAGAGAAGAGAAUGGAAUCUUUUCAGCUCUGAACUAGGAACCUCACAAACAUGGACUUAGUAAGAGAUCACAUGUGUUACUUGAUGGGUGGAAGAGCAAGUGUUGAAUAAGAGGUUCUUUGUCAGUUCACCUUCCCUGAGAGACCUGGUGCUCUGAUGAACUUCUUGGACUCUUUCAGUCCAAGUUGGAACAUUAGCCUUUACCAUGCAGAGGGUGGAGCAGACGCGAACGUGCUGGUCGGGAUCCACGUGCCGGAGCAAAAGAAAAAAUGGUGGAGUUCCGAAACCGAGCUCAAGUUCUGAUGAAUCCCUGGUGAGGAGAUUCAAUUGUCCCUGAUUCUUUUGAAGGAAGAUCUGAUGGUUUGAGAGUGAUAUGGAUUGAUUUUGAUGGAGAUAGAUUGUUUGAUGGGAUGAUCUUCAGAAAUGAUCUAUGGAUUGACCAGAUCUUGUUUAGAUGUGUC